rnacentral:rRNA from 1 species
AGGCCUUGCGCUCUUUGAGCGGCCGAUAUCAGAUUAGCUAGUUGGUGAGGUAAAGGCUCACCAAGGCGACGAUCUGUAGCGGGUCUGAGAGGAUGAUCCGCCACACUGGAACUGAGACACGGUCCAGACUCCUACGGGAGGCAGCAGUGGGGAAUUUUGGACAAUGGGGGCAACCCUGAUCCAGCCAUGCCGCGUGAGUGAAGAAGGCCUUCGGGUUGUAAAGCUCUUUCGGCCGGGAAGAAAUCGCAUGGGCCAAUACCCUGUGCGGAUGACGGUACCGGCAUAAGAAGCACCGGCUAACUACGUGCCAGCAGCCGCGGUAAUACGUAGGGUGCGAGCGUUAAUCGGAAUUACUGGGCGUAAAGCGUGCGCAGGCGGUUUUGUAAGACAGGCGUGAAAUCCCCGGGCUCAACCUGGGAACUGCGUUUGUGACUGCAAGGCUAGAGUACGGCAGAGGGGGGUGGAAUUCCACGUGUAGCAGUGAAAUGCGUAGAGAUGUGGAGGAACACCAAUGGCGAAGGCAGCCCCCUGGGUCGAUACUGACGCUCAUGCACGAAAGCGUGGGUAGCAAACAGGAUUAGAUACCCUGGUAGUCCACGCCCUAAACGAUGUCAACUAGGUGUUGGGUGGGUAAAACCAUUUAGUACCGGAGCUAGCGCGUGAAGUUGACCGCCUGGGGAGUACGGCCGCAAGGUUAAAACUCAAAGGAAUUGACGGGGACCCGCACAAGCGGUGGAUGAUGUGGAUUAAUUCGAUGCAACGCGAAAAACCUUACCUACCCUUGACAUGUCCAGAAGCCUGAAGAGAUUUGGGUGUGCCCGAAAGGGAACUGGAACACAGGUGCUGCAUGGCUGUCGUCAGCUCGUGUCGUGAGAUGUUGGGUUAAGUCCCGCAACGAGCGCAACCCUUGUCGUUAAUUGCCAUCAUUCAGUUGGGCACUUUAACGAGACUGCCGGUGACAAACCGGAGGAAGGUGGGGAUGACGUCAAGUCCUCAUGGCCCUUAUGGGUAGGGCUUCACACGUCAUACAAUGGUCGGUACAAAGGGUUGCCAAGCCGCGAGGUGGAGCCAAUCCCAGAAAGCCGAUCGUAGUCCGGAUCGUAGGCUGCAACUCGCCUGCGUGAAGUCGGAAUCGCUAGUAAUCGUGGAUCAGCAUGUCACGGUGAAUACGUUCCCGGGUCUUGUACACACCGCCCGUCACACCAUGGGAGCGGGUUCCGCCAGAAGUAGGUAGCCUAACCGCAAGGGGGGCGCUUACCACGGCGGGGUUCGUGACUGGGGUGAAGUCGUAACAAGGUA